rnacentral:rRNA from 1 species
GAUGAACGCUGGCGGCGUGCCUAAUACAUGCAAGUCGAGCGAACAGACGAGGAGCUUGCUCCUCUGACGUUAGCGGCGGAAGGGUGAGUAAAACGUGGAUAACCUACCUAUAAGACUGGGAUAACUUCGGGAAACCGGAGCUAAUACCGGAUAAUAUAUUGAACCGCAUGGUUCAAUAGUGAAAGACGGUUUUGCUGUCACUUAUAGAUGGAUCCGCGCCGCAUUAGCUAGUUGGUAAGGUAACGGCUUACCAAGGCAACGAUGCGUAGCCGACCUGAGAGGGUGAUCGGCCACACUGGAACUGAGACACGGUCCAGACUCCUACGGGAGGCAGCAGGAGGGAAUCUUCCGCAAUGGGCGAAAGCCUGACGGAGCAACGCCGCGUGAGUGAUGAAGGUCUUCGGAUCGUAAAACUCUGUUAUUAGGGAAGAACAAAUGUGUAAGUAACUAUGCACGUCUUGACGGUACCUAAUCAGAAAGCCACGGCUAACUACGUG